UUAAAAAGCUCGUAGUUGAAUUUCGGGGUUAGUAGGUUGGUCAUGCCUCUGGUAUGUACUGGUCUCACUGAUUCCUCCUUCCUGAUGAGCCGUAAUGCCAUUAAUUUGGUGUUGCGGGGAAUUUGGACUAUUACUUUGAAAAAAUUAGAGUGUUUAAAGCAAGCUAACGCUUGAAUACAUUAGCAUGGAAUAAUGAAAUAGGACGUUCGAUCCUAUUUUGUUGGUUUCUAGGAUUGACGUAAUGAUUAAUAGGGAUAGUUGGGGG
rnacentral:rRNA from 1 species